GACGUAGGGCGCGAGCGUUGUCCGGAAUUACUGGGCGUAAAGGGCUCGUAGGCGGCCAACUAAGUCAGACGUGAAAUCCCUCGGCUUAACCGGGGAACUGCGUCUGAUACUGGAUGGCUUGAGUUUGGGAGAGGGAUGCGGAAUUCCAGGUGUAGCGGUGAAAUGCGUAGAUAUCUGGAGGAACACCGGUGGCGAAGGCGGCAUCCUGGACCAACACUGACGCUGAGGAGCGAAAGCCAGGGGAGCAAACGGG
rnacentral:rRNA from 1 species